rnacentral:rRNA from 1 species
AUACGUAGGUGACAAGCGUUAUCCGGAUUUACUGGGCGUAAAGGGCGUGUAGGCGGUCUUGCAAGUCAGAAGUGAAAUUCCUGAGCUCAACUCGGGCGCUGCUUCUGAAACUGCAGGACUUGAGUGCUGGAGGGGAUAGCGGAAUUCCUAGUGGAGCGGUAAAAUGCGCAGAUAUUAGGAAGAACACCGGUGGCGAAGGCGGCUAUCUGGACAGUAACUGACGCUGAGGCGCGAAAGCGUGGGGAGCGAACAGGAUUAGAUACCCUGGUAGUCCACGCGGUAAACGAUGAAUGCUAGGUGUAGGGGGUAUCGACCCCUCCUGUGCCGGAGUGAACACAAUAAGCAUUCCGCCUGGGGAGUACGGCCGCAAGGUUGAAACUCAAAUGAAUUGACGGGG